GUCCCUGUGGCUCAGUUGGUAGAGCAUGGUGUGUGCAACGCCAGGGUUGUGGGUUUGAUUCCCAUGGGGGGCC
rnacentral:tRNA from 1 species